rnacentral:ribozyme from 1 species
GCCGUCCGAAAAUGCUGCCUCUACGUGGCGGACAGCAGGCAACGGAGUGCAUCUGAACAUCUCCGGCUAAAGCAUCA